rnacentral:rRNA from 1 species
GACGAACGCUGGCGGCGUGCUUAACACAUGCAAGUCGAACGAAGUGGCGAACGGGUGAGUAAUACGUGGGUAACCUGCCCUUCAGAGGGGGCCAACAGUUGGAAACGACUGCUAAUACCGCAUACUGAAGGAGGGGAUUGCGUCUGAUUAGCUAGUGGGAGGGGUAACGGCCCACAAAGGCGAUGAUAAGUAGCCGGUCUGGGAGGGUGAACGGCCACAUUGGGACUGAGACACGGCCCAGACUCCUACGGGAGGCAGCAGUGGGGAAUCUUCCGCAAUGGACGAAAGUCUGACGGAGCAACGCCGCGUGAGUGAUGACGGCCUUCGGGUUGUAAAGCUCUGUUAAUCGGGACGCGGUACCGGAAUAGAAAGCCACGGCUAACUACGUGCCAGCAGCCGCGGUAAUUC